CUUAUAAGCUGUGUAGGUAGGAAAGAAACAAAGGACUAAGACAGAACCUGAGGAACUACAACAUUUAGAGAUUAAGCAAAAAAGUAAGGCAAUACAAAGAAAAAUUAAAAGCAGAAGCUCAGAAAAUGAGAGGAAAAUCAGGACUGGUGUCAUAAAAGCCCUAAAGGAAAUAGUCUUUUGAGGAAGAGGUGGCCAAAGAGGACAAACCCUACUGGGAGUAACAUGCAGCCGAGGACCCACUGGAUUUGGCAGGAGAGAAGACCACUGACAAACUUGUUAAGGGAAGUUCCAUCAAGGAGAGAAAUCUAGAAGUGGAAUUGCUGAGCUGUAGAGUAUGUGAAUCUCUACAACUUUCAACUUUACCAUGUAUUGUCAAAUUGCUCUCCAAAGUGAUGGUACCAAUUAAUGAUACUACCAAUAAGGAUCUCAACAGGACAAACACAAAGAAAAUAUCAAGGUGCAUCAUAGACAAAUUAUUGAAAAUCAGCAAUAAGGAGAAAACCUUAAAAACAGCAAGAUAAAAAGAUGCAUUAUGUGUAAAAUUAAAAAAGAAAACAAUGAUUGCUGAAUUCUUAUCAUACCAAUGCACAAAAGACAACAGAACAAUAUCUUUAAUGUGUGAAAAGUAAAAAAAAAAAUGUCAAACUAAGUUUUACAUUCAGGAAAAAUAUUCUUUGAAAAUAGAAGACAAUGAGAUUUCUGAUUUGUGGUUAUCACUCCCAUUCUCAUAAUAAGAAAAAAUCUGAAAAAACUGGAAAUCCACAACUCUUCUUAAAAUUGAGGUAACAGGGCAAGCCACUACCUUGAAUAUUAGAGACAGGAAGAUACAAAGAAUUCAGCUUAAAGAAAGAAGGAAGCCUUGGAGGAGAAGCCUGGUGCUGGAGCCUGUACCACUUUCCACAACAUCAACUGUGCUACUGUAUAAUAACAGGGCAUUAUAGCCAAAGAACUGUAAGCCUCAGACCCUAUUUAAGGAAGAGUCUCCAGGGAAAUCUAAAAAUAACAGGGAAGACUAAAACAAGGACACCCAGAGAAAAUGCUAGCCUUUGAUAUGUACAGCUAUAGCAACUGGCAAACACAAUGUAACUCCUAGCCAGAUCAACAUUGAACCUCACACAAAAGGUCUAUUUACUUCAUUUCCUUCUAAUUGAUACAUCCUCUCAGGCUGUCAGCAAAAAACUAGAAGACGUGAAAAUGCAAAAACUCUGUCUGAAGAGAGAAAGCAUGCCUUAGACUCAGACUGGCAGAAAUUUUGAGUGAUCAAACCAGAUAUUUAAAAUAACUAUGAUUAAAAUGCUAGCAGAAUGGAAAAAGUAAACAACAUGCACAAAUGGAAGGCAAAACAAAGACAUUUUCAAAUAAGCAAAAGGUGAUAGAAUGUGUCAUCCACAGACCUGCACUAUAAAAAAUGGUAGAGGAAGUUCUUCAGUAUGAAAGUGAAUGAUACCAGAUGGAAACUGAGAUCUACAAAAUGAAACAUCACUGGAAAUAGUAAAUACAUGGAGUUUCACCUGCCACCUGGAUCAUUUCCUAUUUUUCUGCAGCCACUUCAGGGCGGGGACCCAGUAUCACGAAGCUGCAAGCUUUGCUGCCAGUUUUCCAUCCAUCCCCCGGGGCUGAGAUGAGGUGAGAGGCCGCAAAUCCUAUCUAUGAAGAUAGGCACUUCCAUUCAUUCUGAAGUCCUCACAUAGUAGUUAUUCAGUGAAUGUACCCUGGGAUCCACUUUUCACCUUUCCCCUUACCUGCUUUGUGCUUCAAGAAACUGACUUCAACAGACAGCAUCAUCUGGGCUUCUUUACCCUGUAGUGUUCAGCUGAGUUCAGCCAAUGGAAGACACUAGUAGAAGACUGGAAGGAUAGAGGAGAGAAAGAUUGGAAUAUUUAUUCCCAUCUCAUACUACAGUUUUUGUAGUGAUGGUUCUUCCUAUUGGACAGCUUCCACCUAUAACUACAGUUCUCUCCUGGUUCCAGAAACUGCUUUCUCCACUUCUGACCUAGGAGUAGCCACAGCUCCCAGCUGUUGUUAGACCCCAGGUGUAUUUUGUCAUCUCUUGUUACUUCCCUUAACCCUGCCACAGCUCUGAAAAUAGUCCAGUAAUUAAAUACUUUUUGAGCUAUUUCUUUGAGUAUACCACCUGUUUGUUUCGUGCCUGGACCCUGAGUGAUACAGUAUAAUAAAUAAUGUUCAAUACAAUAUACAAUGUAAAAUACAAUAGAUAAUACAAUUCCUAAAAACAAAAAGGAAGAAAGGAAAUAAAGAAUAAAAAAAGAAACAAAGAAGGAAAACCGGAUUUCUACCACCAAAAUGAAAUUAUUAUUACAAUUAUAGUGUAUUUACUUUUAGCUUUUUAAAUGCAAUUUUUAUGUAGUCAUUACUGUGGUAUAUAUGUAUUUAUGCUUAUUAAGUAGUUAUUUUUAACAUUGCCUGGUCUCUAUCAACAUCAUUUUUAAUGAUUGGAUAAUGGACUAUUUGGG
rnacentral:lncRNA from 1 species